GUGAAGGUUGAACAGGUAGGCUGGGGUAAAGGCACAGAGACAGAGAAAGAGAAAGAGAAUGAGAAAGUAAAACAGCUUAGUUUUGGUUACUGAGCUCAAUGUCAUUGUCAGUAUAUGUCUGUGAAGUUGUCUGGGAGAAAUUCCACAACCAUCUUGAGAUUCUCAAAGGCGUUUUUCCUUAACGUGCUUCUUGAGAGGGAUAGGGGUGUGGUUUUCCCUGAGAAGAGCAGCCUUGGGGUCAGGGUGCGGGGACAGAAGGAGAAGAGCCCUUUGAGGUCAGUCCUAUGAUCACAGUGUGAGUGAGGACGGGGAGGUGAACCCCAGCUCCUGCAGGAAUCCACCAGCCCAGGAGCUCACAGGCCCCACCUGGCAUGGACCAACCAUUCGCUCUAGGGCCAGGAGAGGUGACCAGUCACCUUGUAGGGAUGGGGCGCCUGUACACCCCUUCUGCUUUUGCACAGUUGCUGCCUUCCUCUGUCUUCCCCAGGAAGCCUCCAACACCUGCCCCUCAGGUCCCCCAUCUCUAGCCCAGGCACAGGGCUCAGGCUGCUCAUGACCUACUUCCCUUCUAGACAGAAACCAGUACAUGUACCCCACCCAGCAGGAGCUGUAGGUGGCCCUGCGGUGACAUGGGAGGCUCCUACAGAGCUUACAGAAGCACGCAAGCUCUGGAGCAAGAACAGAUGUCAGGCACAGUGUGUAUCAUGAUACAUGUCUUAUCAGGGAAGACAACGCCCCCAUCCCUCUCAAGAAGCAUAGGGUCACACCCAGCAGGCGCUGGGGAUUCAGGUAAGGGUCGUCCUGGGUCAGCUCCGAGGCUGUCCACAGUGUAAGCUCUGCCUAACUCAGGCAGGGGCAAGGGUGUGGUCACCACUCCAGCUCUGGGAGGUGGAUGUGGAAGAAGGUGCUGGUGCCCACUCCCUGGGUUCUCCACCCCGAGAGAUUACACAAAGCAUGCAGUAUGAUUGCAGAAACUCCCCUGUGCCCUGCCAGUGAGACACAUCACCAGGCACAGGGGAUGCCAUUGGCCUCUCCUGCAUCUCGCCACACUCCCUGCACCACACGAGACCACCCUGUAGAGCCAACAGCAGAGAAGUCCUGCUCCUUACGCUAACCUGCCUUCCUGGGGCCUGUGUCAUAUACUGUUGGGUGACCCUGGGGAGGCGACUUUGCCUCUCUGAGCCUCAGUUUCCUUGCCUAGGAAGGCAGACAGGCCAGCCCACCUGAUCCCCUGUCUGGAGGACGAAUAGAGACCACACAUUUAAAGGCCUGGCAAUAAGCAUUCACUGAGGACACCUGUGUGCCCUGCUGUCUGCUGGAUGAGGCUGAGUUAAGGACACAGCUGUGACAUAGCAGCAGGCCCCUUCGCAGCAGUGAGGGGCACAGACCUGGCCUCAGAAUAAUGCAAGGACUCAGAGGCUCAGUGUUGGGAUGGGGAAGCCCAGAGUGGGGAAGCCCGGGGACGCCCUGACACAGCCUGGGAGUCAGGGACGAUGACACUGGACAGGAGAUUUUGAGGGUGAACAAGAACUGUGAGUGUUUCAGCAAAUGUGGAGUCCCCAGGAGCAGAGGGCAGGGCAGGGAGAGGGGCAGGAGUGGGCAGCAGGGCUGAGGUUGCCUUGUGGGGCUUGAGAGGAUGUUGGACUUUAUCCUGGGCACACUGGGUACCAUGACUGGCCAUAGCAGGGGACAGAUGAGGUCAGGUUUGUGUGUGACAAUCUGGCAUGUCUUCAUGGGGAGAGUGGACAGAGGCUUGACCCUGGGGACAGCAGAGCAGGAGAGAGGCUGCUGCAGCAGCAGUGACCGCGCCACGAGCACCACAGUGCUGGGCGCCCUCCUGCCGGGGGCGGGGUCGGGCAGCCCCUCCCGACACCACUGCUCCAUCUGCUCUUCUGUCCCUGCCUUCCAGCUGGGGGUACAGCAGUGUUUUCCAGGACACAGGUUUGGACUUUCUAGUAGAUGGAAAACCAACUCAGUGGCCAUAAAACCACAUUAUUUCAUUAAGUGAAAAAGAAUGGAUAGUGGAAUAGUAUGCACAGACCAGAAUGCUGUGGGAGAUUGUUUAUCACACUUUAUCUGUGACUGUGGCAGGCAGUGAUGGAAUAUCUAAUAGUCCUAGUGAGUCCCAGCCAAAUAGUUAGUACACUUGGGAGGAGAGCAAGCUCCAGGCUCACGUGCUUCUCCCCUAAGAGACAUCGACAUAUCUGUCCUGUCAUGGCUUCCAAAAAGGGCCUUGGUACUCACGUCAUUGGUUGGAGACAUCUUCUGGGAGGCUGCAGGGGGGCCUUGCACAUGGGCUUGCUUUUUGUACCAAGAACAGGGCAUGAGGAGUUGAGAUUCCCCACGGCACACUUCGUGAUGCCACGACUUGCCAUCCUUCUUGACCUCGCCCAAGGCAUGUGGCCCCUCCUUAAAAAGCCCAUGAUCUCCUUUAAUAUUUCAAGCAGCUUCUCCUGUUCUCUUGACAAGAUGUCAUUCAUGUUAAACAUUCCUUUCUUCCUUGGCAGUGCUCAUUACCUCAAUAAUUGGAUCUUUGUGUAACAAGCACCUGGACCUAGGCCAAAGUCCCCUCAUGGUUUAAAUGACAGGAGCACUAAAGACCAAACUCUAUAAAAACUCUUGAACAACAAGAUUUGAUCUUCCUGCUUGCUGAAUACUUGGAGGUGCUGGGAGGAGCUGCAAAUCCCUACCCCAUACCUAUCGCUUCAUCAGCGUGUUCUUCUAAUCUUUUGUGAUAUCCUUUAUACGAAGCCAGUAAACAUAAAUAAGUAUUUCGUGGAGUUCUGUGAGUCAUCCUAGCAAAUUAAUCAAAUGUUAGCAGGGGAUCAUGGAAACCCUGGUUCAAAGCUGGUCUGUCAGAAGUAUAGGCGACAACCUACUACUUGCAACUGGCAUCCGAAGUGGGGAGCAGUCUUGGGAUCUCAGCCCUCAACCUGCGGGAUCUGACACUAUUUUCAGGCAAGACCGUCUGUGGGGUGUAGUCCUGGGUAAGGGAAGUGGAGGCAGAGGGUCACAGAUCCUGGCUUCGGCGCCACCAUGGAGAGCGGAGGGUGCCCCUCGCUGGGCCUGUUCUUCCUCCUGGGCACCAGCUCUGUUGUCACUGCCAUCCUGUAUUCUGUGUAUCAGCAGAAGGCCCAGGUCUCCCAAGAGCUCAAGCAGAAGACAUCUGGUAUUGUCUCUUUUUGAGGAAGCAGGGAAAGCUCCUAGUGCUGACUACUCCGGAACGUGUUCAAGUAUGAGAAAGAACUCACAGAUAACAACUUAGGGCACAUAUAUUUUAAUUAAAAAAAAGAGAAGUUG